CAGAGAGGUUCGAUAUUUGACGGUGGAGAAGGAGGCACUGGCUAUCAAGUGGGCCCUAGAUUCCUUCCGGUACUACCUUCUUGCUCAAGAGUUCACCUUGGAGACGGAUCACAAGGCCCUUUUGGCUUUGGUAGAGAAACCAUCCAGUGGUGACGAGAAGACGUACCACUAUCUCCUCACACAGUAAUACGAGGGAAAAUACGUACACCCAUGUUUCUGCCGUACGUACGUUUGAUAAGUGAGGGCCAAUAUGUGUUAUGUUUUUGUCAACAGGGAUAUACAAUGUGUUUCUACUCAUGUAAAGGAUGGGGUUUUCCACAUUUCAAACUUUGCCUUAUUGUUGACCAAAUGAAACAUGCAUUUCUCUUUUUGUCAUCACAUCCACAGAAAAAAUGGAUGUAGGAUCUUUGAAAGAGCUCCAGUCUCAAAUCAAGAGAGACUUCUGCUCGACCAAUGAUUACCACAUCAAGGGCUGCAGUACAGCGGUGAUGUUCAGUCUGGGCC